rnacentral:lncRNA from 1 species
GAGAACUAUUGCUCAUGAUAACAUUUACAAUCAUAUAUAUACUGAGACUCGUUUACAUCAAUUCUAAUAUGGCACCGCUCAAAUUUUUUAACCCUCUCAAAUAUUCGAGGGACGUCCACCGCUCAAAUUUUUUAACCCUCUCAAAUAUUCGAGGGACGUCAACUCCCAUUCUGGGAGAAAAGACUGUCUUCACUCAAGCUCUGGGACUCCAAUAAAGAAAAUUGAAAUCAAAUCCCUACAAUGCGUUUGCGGAGGCUCGAACCACUUCCCUCACAUUUGUGAGGGAGUGACUCUGGCCACUUGGGC